GAUGAACGCUGGCGGCGUGCCUAAUACAUGCAGGUCGAGCGAAUGGAUUAAGAGCUUGCUCUUAUGAAGUUAGCGGCGGACGGGUGAGUAACACGUGGGUAACCUGCCCAUAAGACUGGGAUAACUCCGGGAAACCGGGGCUAAUACCGGAUAACAUUUUGAACCGCAUGGUUCGAAAUUGAAAGGCGGCUUCGGCUGUCACUUAUGGAUGGACCCGCGUCGCAUUAGCUAGUUGGUGAGGUAACGGCUCACCAAGGCAACGAUGCGUAGCCGACCUGAGAGGGUGAUCGGCCACACUGGGACUGAGACACGGCCCAGACUCCUACGGGAGGCAGCAGUAGGGAAUCUUCCGCAAUGGACGAAAGUCUGACGGAGCAACGCCGCGUGAGUGAUGAAGGCUUUCGGGUCGUAAAACUCUGUUGUUAGGGAAGAACAAGUGCUAGUUGAAUAAGCUGGCACCUUGACGGUACCUAACCAGAAAGCCACGGUUAACUACGUGCCAGCCGCCGCGGUAA
rnacentral:rRNA from 1 species